CACUCAGCGCCGGAGCCGUGAGCUAGCGGCCGCCGCCAUGUCCCACCAGACCGGCAUCCAAGAUUGAUCCGAAAUUCGGGGGAGCGAAGGAAAUUGGCUUUCGAGGCGGCCUAGUUGAAGGGGGCGUGCCUUCCACCGUCCCUGACAGUAGCCCAACUUUCCCCCUUUUGGUCACGUAGGAAAGAGCAGGGACAGUGGAGGCGACUGGGGCUUCCCUACGCUGUCGAGAGCCAGCAAGUGAAGAUGUUAAAGAGAUCUUUGCCAGAGCCAGAAAUGGAAAGUACAGACUUCUGAAAAUAUCUAUUGAAAAUGUUUCUGCACCACAGUCCAUUUCUAAUGUCAGUGCUUCCAUCUCUGGAAUGGAAAUCACUAAACAGAGCAACUUGUGAUUGGAUCAUAUAGUCAGCCUUCAGAUUCCUGGGAUAAGGAUUAUGAUUCCUUUGUUUUACCCCUGUUGGAGGACAAACAACCGUGCUAUAUAUUAUUCAGGUUAGAUUCUCAGAAUGCCCAGGGAUAUGAAUGGAUAUUCAUUGCAUGGUCUCCAGAUCAUUCUCAUGU
rnacentral:sRNA from 1 species